rnacentral:rRNA from 1 species
GACCUUGCCCUGCAUGGGGUUUGGUGGAAAGUUUUUCGGCCUGGGAUGGGCUCGCGGCCUAUCAGCUUGUUGGUGGGGUGAUGGCCUACCAAGGCGACGACGGGUAGCCGGCCUGAGAGGGCGACCGGCCACACUGGGACUGAGACACGGCCCAGACUCCUACGGGAGGCAGCAGUGGGGAAUAUUGCACAAUGGGCGGAAGCCUGAUGCAGCGACGCCGCGUGAGGGAUGACGGCCUUCGGGUUGUAAACCUCUUUCAGCAGGGACGAAGCGCAAGUGACGGUACCUGCAGAAGAAGCACCGGCCAACUACGUGCCAGCAGCCGCGGUAAGACGUAGGGUGCGAGCGUUGUCCGGAUUUAUUGGGCGUAAAGAGCUCGUAGGCGGCUUGUCGCGUCGACCGUGAAAACU